AUCUGCUCCGGGGAUCUCCUCGCUCUGAGGCGUUUUUUGAUUACCCCCCCGGGUUCUGACCCACUUUCAUGUUCUUGCUUGUUCAUCAAUCGCACUCCUGCUGGCCAUGCAUCUUUCAAUUUUAUUUCCUAUCUAUCUACUUUGGAUGGUAAGAUACAUACCUUCCAUGGAGCUGACGGCUGACGGAUGAUUAGGGUUCCAUUCCGGAGAGGGAGCCUGACAAACGGCUACCACAUCGAAGGAAGGCAGCACGCGCGCUAAUUACCCAAUCCUGACACAGGUAGGUACUGACAAUAAAUAACAAUACCGGGCUCUUUCCGGCCGGUUAAUGGGAAUAAUACCAACCCAAUCCCCUAAGGAGGAAUCAUUGGGAGGGAAGGGUGGGGGCAGCCGCCGGGGUUAUUUCUCCUUCAAUAAAAAAAAAUAAAAA
rnacentral:rRNA from 1 species